rnacentral:rRNA from 1 species
AUUGAACGCUGGCGGCAUGCCUUACACAUGCAAGUCGAACGGCAGCACGGGGCAACCUGGUGGCGAGUGGCGAACGGGUGAGUAAUGCAUCGGAACGUACCUUUCAGUGGGGGAUAACGUAGCGAAAGUUACGCUAAUACCGCAUAUUCUGUGAGCAGGAAAGCAGGGGAUCGCAAGACCUUGCGCUGAUUGAGCGGCCGAUGUCAGAUUAGCUAGUUGGUGAGGUAAAGGCUCACCAAGGCGACGAUCUGUAGGGGGUCUGAGAGGAUGAUCCGCCACAAUGGAACUGAGACACGGUCCAGACUCCUACGGGAGGCAGCAGUGGGGAAUUUUGGACAAUGGGGGCAACCCUGAUCCAGCCAUGCCGCGUGAGUGAAGAAGGCCUUCGGGUUGUAAAGCUCUUUCGGCCGGGAAGAAAUCGCACGGGCUAAUACCCUGUGUGGAUGACGGUACCGGAAUAAGAAGCACCGGCUAACUACGUGCCAGCCGCCGCGGUAACAC